CGCGGGGAAGUGUAACGGUUUGCACACGAGCCCCAUAAGCUUGGAGCAGCGGGUUCAACUCCCGCCCCCGCAA
rnacentral:tRNA from 1 species